rnacentral:rRNA from 1 species
UACGUAGGGUGCAAGCGUUAAUCGGAAUUACUGGGCGUAAAGCGUGCGCAGGCGGUUUUGUAAGUCUGUCGUGAAAUCCCCGGGCUCAACCUGGGAAUUGCGAUGGAGACUGCAAGGCUAGAAUCUGGCAGAGGGGGGUAGAAUUCCACGUGUAGCAGUGAAAUGCGUAGAGAUGUGGAGGAACACCGAUGGCGAAGGCAGCCCCCUGGGUCAAGAUUGACGCUCAUGCACGAAAGCGCGGGGAGCAAACAGGAU